rnacentral:rRNA from 1 species
CGCUGGCGGCGUGCCUAACACAUGCAAGUCGAGCGGAGACAUGCGACGGAAGUGAAGUUUCGGAUGGAGCUGAAGAUGUAUGUUUAGCGGCGGACGGGUGAGUAACGCGUGAGACAACCUCGUCCCUUACGAGGGGGAUAACACAGCGAAAGUUGUACUAAUACCGCAUGAGACCACGGUGAGACAUCUCACAGGGGUCAAAGGAGCAAUCCGGUAAGGGGUGGGCUCGCGUCCGAUUAGAUAGUUGGUGAGGUAACGGCCCACCAAGUCGACGAUCGGUAGCCGACCUGAGAGGGUGAUCGGCCACAUUGGGACUGAGACACGGCCCAAACUCCUACGGGAGGCAGCAGUGGGGAAUAUUGGGCAAAUGGGGGAAACCCUGACCCAGCAACGCCGCGUGAGGGAAGAAGGUUUUCGGAUCGUAAACCUCUGUCCUUGGUGAAGAGAAAGAGACGGUAGCCAAGGAGGAAGCCCCGGCUAACUACGUGCCAGCCGCCGC